GAUGAACGCUGGCGGCGUGCCUAAUACAUGCAAGUCGAGCGAACAGAUGAGGAGCUUGCUCCUCUGACGUUAGCGGCGGACGGGUGAGUAACACGUGGAUAACCUACCUAUAAGACUGGGAUAACUUCGGGAAACCGGAGCUAAUACCGGAUAAUAUAUUGAACCGCAUGGUUCAAUAGUGAAAGACGGUUUUGCUGUCACUUAUAGAUGGAUCCGCGCCGCAUUAGCUAGUUGGUAAGGUAACGGCUUACCAAGGCAACGAUGCGUAGCCGACCUGAGAGGGUGAUCGGCCACACUGGAACUGAGACACGCUCCAGACUCCUACGGGAGGCAGCAGUAGGGAAUCUUCCGCAAUGGGCGAAAGCCUGACGGAGCAACGCCGCGUGAGUGAUGAAGGUCUUCGGAUCGUAAAACUCUGUUAUUAGGGAAGAACAAAUGUGUAAGUAACUAUGCACGUCUUGACGGUACCUAAUCAGAAAGCCACGGCUAACUACGUG
rnacentral:rRNA from 1 species